ensembl:lncRNA
CGGAGGGAGCCCGCGCCUCUGCGCCACGCGGUGCAGCACGGCGGCGCGAUGAGCCGGGGAGAUAACGCGUAUAUACGUAUUGACCCAAAGCCCGCGCUCAGCCUUACCGUGGCUCUCCUCAGGAGCAGUGGGCGUCCUUCCUAGCGGCCCCUCGGACGCACAGGGCAGCCGGCAUCCAAAACCUCCGCUGGCACCGCUCUCUUCGGUGUGGGGACGGCACUGAAGCUCCCUGGUGCAGAAGAACAGCCCUGUGGAAAAGGACUUGAGGGUGCUGGUGCGUGAAGAGGCAGACGUGAGCCAGCAGCGUGCUCUUGCAGCCCGGAAGGCGAAGUGUGAAGUGUGUCCUGGGCCGCAGCAAAAGGAGGGUGACAGCAGGGAGAGGGAGGUGAUUGUGCCCCCUCUGCUCUGCCCUUCUGAGGCCCCAUCUGGAGUACCGUGUCCAGGCCUGGGGCUCCCGGUAUGGGAGAGAUGUGGAGCUGUUGGAGCACGUCUAGGGGAGGGCCGCACAAAUGAUCCAAGGAUUGGAACACCCCCCCCCCCCCCUGCAGGGAUAGGCUGAGAACGCUGGGGCUGUUCAGCACGGAGAAGGGAAGGCUCCAGGGAGACCUCAUUGAAGCCUUCCAGUACUUGAAGGGAGCGUAUGAGCUGGAGGGGAACUGACUUGUUACAGAACCUGAUAGCGGUAGGACAAAGAGGAAUGGCUUUAAACUAAAAAGAUGGGAGGUUUAGUUUAGAUAUUAGGCAGAAACUCUUCACUCAGGUGAGGCGCUGGCACAGGUUGUCCAGAGAAGCUGUGGGUGCCCCAUUCUUGGACGCCCCAUCUCCUAGGCCAGGCUGGAUGAGGCCCUGGGCAGCCUGCUCUUGUGGGUGGCAGCCCUGCUCAAGGUGGGGGGUUGGGACUGGGUAGGCUCUAAGCUCCCUUCCAACCUACACCAUUCUGUGAUUCUACAAAUAUUUGUAAGGUUAUUUUGUCUAUUCAGCUUUCAUGGAUAUUCCCAACUGCUUGUGGAAACAAUGAAAGGUUUGUGUAGCUACAGCACUUACCUUGAGCACGCGUUAAGGUGUGCCAUCUUGCCCACCACACGGGUUCAGGAGGGCUGCAGGUUUUCGGGAUGCAUUACAUUGGUACUGUGUUAGGAUUGCUGCUUGACCAAUUUGAAAACAAUAUGAAGAGAUGCCAGUUCUGACCAGAGAAAAGCAGGAAAGUGAGAAGAGGGGAAGGUCGGGUCAUUCUGGAUGCUGAAACGUGUGGUGUUAGAUAGUUAGGGCAUGAAACUAUCCAUAUACACGUAGAAAUGUAAGAAUCUGGUAAUCCACAUCUGACAUUGAACGUGGGAGAAUGGUAUUACCCAGGCAAGGCUGGGUUCUCACACUGGGAUGCCAUGUUCCACCAGUUUGCAAUUACUGGCCUCUUGCUGCUGGAGCAGUGGGAGAGAGAGGUGAUACUGGGAUGAGAAUGUGAUGCAGGGACAUUGGGUAAUGCAGACUACAGUCUCCUGGUGCCCUCUGGCUUGGUAAAAUGCAGAGGGAAUGUGGGAAGGUUGGAGUGCCCAACAAGUGACAAAACAACUGGAGUACAGCGGAACAUUGUGGAGGACACAGAGGUUGAAAUGGGAGGCUGCUCACUGGAGGGCUAUCAUUUAUAUUUUCC